rnacentral:pre_miRNA from 1 species
AAUAGAUGACGCCGUUGACUUUUUCUCACAUGUUUGACCAUUCGUCUUAUUCAAAAAAUUUACGUAAUUAUAAUUUAUUUUUGUUAUGAGUUGUUUUAUCACUCAUAGUAAUUUAAAUGUGAUUUAUAUCUUAUACAUUUGUAUAAAAUUUUUGAAUAAGACGAAUGGUCAAACAUGUGAGAAAAAGUCAAUGGCGUCAUCUAUU